rnacentral:rRNA from 1 species
UACAUGGGGUGCAAACGUUGCUCGGAAUUAUUGGGCGUAAAGCGCACGUAGGCGGUUUGUUAAGUCGGAUGUGAAAUCCCUCGGCUCAACUGAGGAAGUGCAUCCGAAACUGGCAAGCUUGAGUACGAAAGAGGGUCGCGGAAUUCCCGGUGUAGAGGUGAAAUUCGUAGAUAUCGGGAGGAACACCGGUGGCGAAGGCGGCGACCUGGGUCGAUACUGACGCUGAGGUGCGAAAGCGUGGGGAG